AUUGAACGCUGGCGGCAUGCUUAAACACAUGCAAGUCGAACGGUAACAGGCCCUUCGGGGUGCUGACGAGUGGCGGACGGGUGAGUAAUGCUUAGGAAUCUGCCUGGUUGUGGGGGAUAACCCGGGGAAACUCGGGCUAAUACCGCAUACGUCUCCCUGCCUUUACGACGAGGGGGGAAAGCGGGGGACCUUCGGCCUCGCGCCAUCAGAUGAGCCUAAGUCCGAUUAGCUAGUUGGUAGGACGGCCUACCAAGCGACGAUCGGUAGCUGGUCUGAGAGGACGACCAGCCACACUGGGACUGAGACACGGCCCAGACUCCUACGGGGAGGCAGCAGGUGGGGAAUCUUGCGCAAUGGGCGAAAGCCUGACGCAGCGACGCCG
rnacentral:rRNA from 1 species